UACGUAGGGGGCGAGCGUUGUCCGGAGUUACUGGGCGUAAAGCGCUCGCAGGCGGUGCGGCACGUUUGGGGUUACAGCUCCCGGCUCAACUGGGAGAGCGCCUCGAAGACGGCGGCACUUGAGGGCCAGAGAGGGACACGGAACUGCGAGUGUAGAGGUGAAAUUCGUAGAUAUUCGCAAGAACACCAGUGGCGAAGGCGGCUCACUGGCCCGGUACUGACGCUGAGGUGCGAAAGCGUGGGGAGCAAACAGG
rnacentral:rRNA from 1 species